rnacentral:rRNA from 1 species
CGCACGGGUGCGUAACGCGUGGGAAUCUGCCCUUGGGUACGGAAUAACUCAGAGAAAUUUGUGCUAAUACCGUAUAAUGUCUUCGGACCAAAGAUUUAUCGCCCAAGGAUGAGCCCGCGUAAGAUUAGCUAGUUGGUGGGGUAAAAGCCUACCAAGGCGACGAUCUUUAGCUGGUCUGAGAGGAUGAUCAGCCACACUGGGACUGAGACACGGCCCAGACUCCUACGGGAGGCAGCAGUGGGGAAUAUUGGACAAUGGGCGAAAGCCUGAUCCAGCAAUGCCGCGUGAGUGAUGAAGGCCUUAGGGUUGUAAAGCUCUUUUACCCGGGAUGAUAAUGACAGUACCGGGAGAAUAAGCUCCGGCUAACUCCGUGCCAGCAGCCGCGGUAAUACGGAGGGAGCUAGCGUUGUUCGGAAUUACUGGGCGUAAAGCGCGCGUAGGCGGUUUUUUAAGUCAGAGGUGAAAGCCCAGUGCUCAACACUGGAACUGCCUUUGAAACUGGAAAACUUGAAUCUUGGAGAGGUCAGUGGAAUUCCGAGUGUAGAGGUGAAAUUCGUAGAUAUUCGGAAGAACACCAGUGGCGAAGGCGACUGACUGGA